GAGACCUGGGUUCAAUCUCUGGGUUGGGAAGAUUCCCUGGAGAAGGGAAAGGCUACCCACUCCAGUGUUCUGGCCUGGAGAAUUCCAUGGACAGUACAGUCCAUGGGGUCUCAAAGAGUCAGAUAUGACUGAAUGACUUUCACUUUCACUUGAACAUUCUUUGGCAUUGCCUUUCUUUGGGCUUGGAAUUAAAACUGACCUUUUUCAGCCUGUGGCUACUGCUGAGUUUUCCAAAUUUGCUGGCAUAUUGAGGGCAGCAUCACCUUCACUGCAUUAUCUUUUAGGGUUUGAAAUAGCUCAACUGGAAUACCAUCACCUCCACUAGCUUUGUUCGUAAUGAUGCUUCCUAAGACCCACUUGACUUCACAUUCCAGGAUGUCUGGUUCUAGCCAAUGAUGGAGAAACUCUAUCCAGUCAAGACCCGGAGCUGACUGUGGCUGAGAUCAUGAACUCCUUAUUGCAAAAUUCAGAAGAAUUAAAGGAUAAAUUGAAGAAAGUAGGGGAAACCAUUAGACCAUUCAGGGAAAAUUAAUAAUGAAAUAAACAUCAUCAUUGUCAUUUUCAUCAUCAUCACCUCUACAGCAAGAUUUCUCAGCCUUGACUAUUUUCAUCUUGGGUUGAAUGAUUCUUUUUAGGGAACAGUGUGGCUGGCUAUCCUGGGGGUUUUAGGAUAUGUAGCAGCAUUUCUGCCCUUUAUAGAUUAGAUAGUAUUAGUAACAACUUCCCCUCUCCAACAG
ensembl:lncRNA